ACUUUCUGCCUGAACUUGUGAGUCAGAAUGCAAGCUUUGAACAUCCAUGCCUGCCUGCCUGCCACCUCGCUUCCUGCCAUGAUGGUCGUGGAUCAGCACCUGAAACAGUGCAGAUUUUUUCCCCAUAGAAUGUAUAAUGCAAAGCAGAGUGACUCCUAAAGUAAGCUGUAGUGGAUCCACUCAAUUUGGUGUCCUUGUGCUGGAUAAUUUUAUGUCAACUGGACACAAGCGACAAUCAUCUAAGAGGAGGAAACCUCAGUUAAGAAAAUGCCUUCAUAAGACUGGCUUGUGGGCAAAUAUGUAAGGCGUCUUUUCAAUUAGUGAUUGAUGGAAGAAGGCUCAGCCCAUAGUGGGUGGUUUCAUGCCUGGGCUGGUGGCCUUGAGUUCUAUAAGAAAGUGGGCUGAGCAAGCCAUCAGGAGCAAGACAGUAGGCAUCACCCAUCCAUCGUCUCUGCAUCAGCUCCUCUCUCAAGCUGCUGGUCUUGUUUGAGUCCCUGUCUUGAUUCUCUUCAAUAAUAGGCUGCAAUGUGGAAGUGUGAGUCAAAUAAACCCUUUCCUUCCCAACUUG
rnacentral:lncRNA from 1 species